UACAUGGGGUGCAAACGUUGCUCGGAAUUAUUGGGCGUAAAGCGCACGUAGGCGGUUCGUUAAGUCGGAUGUGAAAGCCCUCGGCUCAACUGAGGAAGUGCACCCGAAACUGGCGAGCUUGAGUACGAAAAGAGGAUCGCGGAAUUCCCGGUGUAGAGGUGAAAUUCGUAGAUAUCAGGAGGAACACCGGUGGCGAAGGCGGGUCUCUGGGCAGUAACUGACGCUGAGGAGCGAAAAGCGUGGGGGAGCGAACAGG
rnacentral:rRNA from 1 species